rnacentral:sRNA from 1 species
AAGAAAGCCCAUUUUUGUGUCUGUCAGCUUAGAUGCUCUUGCCCGGACUGCUAAAGAUGCAGCUAUUUACAGUGGACAAAAACUGAAGGGGUGAAAGAAAACCCAAGAUGCCAGACCAGUUUGACCAGGCGGUUGUGCUGAACCAGCUGCGGUACUCAGGGAUGCUGGAGACUGUGAGAAUCCGCAAAGCUGGGUAUAAAGUGCUGAUGAGGAAUCUGGCUCUGCCCGAGGACGUCCGAGGGAAGUGCACGAGCCUGCUGCAGCUCUAUGAUGCCUCCAACAGCGAGUGGCAGCUGGGGAAGACCAAGGUCUUUCUUCGAGAAUCCUUGGAACAGAAACUGGAGAAGCGGAGGGAAGAGGAAGUGAGCCACGCGGCCAUGGUGAUUCGGGCCCACGUCUUGGGCUUCUUAGCACGAAAACAAUACAGAAAGGUCCUUUAUUGUGUGGUGGUAAUACAGAAGAAUUACAGAGCAUUCCUUCUGAGGAGGAGAUUUUUGCACCUGAAAAAGGCAGCCAUAGUUUUCCAGAAGCAACUCAGAGGUCAGAUUGCUCGGAGAGUUUACAGACAAUUGCUG